rnacentral:RNase_P_RNA from 1 species
GGGUAACCCGACGGAAAGUGCCACAGAGAAAAGACCGCCAGCGGCCAGGCCAAGGCCUGGUGCGGGCAAGGGUGAAACGGUGGGGUAAGAGCCCACCGCGCCUCCUGGAAACAGGGGCGGCACGGCAAACCCCACCCGGUGCAAGGCCCAGUAGAGGGGAAGGGCUUGCCCGGCCCGCCACAACCCCUGGGAUGGGCCGCUUGAGGCCGGCGGCGACGCCGGUCCCAGAGAGAUGACCGCCGAAAACAGAACCCGGCUUAC